UGGGAGUGAGUGGCGAACGGGUGAGUAACACGUGAGUAACCUGCCCCCUUCCUUUGGGAUAACGCCCGGAAACGGGUGCUAAUACUGGAUAUUCACUGGCCUUCGCAUGGGGGUUGGGUGGAAAGGUUUGUUCUGGUGGGGGAUGGGCUCGCGGCCUAUCAGCUUGUUGGUGGGGUGAUGGCCUACCAAGGCUUUGACGGGUAGCCGGCCUGAGAGGGUGACCGGUCACAUUGGGACUGAGAUACGGCCCAG
rnacentral:rRNA from 1 species